ACUGCCCCUAGAGGCGUUGCAGGUGUGGCUGCCGUGUUGUGCCUGCGUCAUUAGGUGGCAGAGAGCAAAGAGGCUCGCCUACGCCCAGUGUCCUGGUCCUGGUCGUGGGCGCCUGGAUGGUUGACGGCCUGACACU
rnacentral:snoRNA from 1 species